rnacentral:lncRNA from 1 species
AGAAGGAAAUUAUAAUUGCUGUAGUGUAUGCAGCAAGGCAGGAGACCAGGAACCCAGGAAGCAAACUCCCUGGAUGUUGCAUGUUCCUGCCGCCAGCAAGGAAAUGAAAACGCCCCCAUGUGUGAGCCAAAAAGCCAACGACCUGGGCAGGGCAGGCACAAACUACAAAGCGGGGGAAAAAAAAAUAAACACACCGGAGUCGGAGGAGUCCUGCCGCAGAGCAACUAUAAAAAGGACACCCUGCAACCGUGUGUACCGGAGUCUCUAUCGGUGUCAGCCAGCAGCUUACAAAGUCAGACGCAUUUGUAUACACAGGCCGAGCACUGGAGUCCAGGUGGCAACUGCUAGACAAAAACGAUGUGCACGCCCCCACAAAAAACACACACACACACAGAGACAAGAACGUACAGGAGCAGAAGGACCAGAAGGACCAGCCAGCUAAACGAGUAGGUGGAGAAAAUUUAAUAUGAUUAUGUUGAAGUAAAUUGCUUGAAAC